CAUAAACAUAAAUUUAUACCAAAGUUCAAAAAGAGUCGAAACAAGAAAGUUACGAUAUAUUAACAAUGGUUGGUCCACUAUAAUUUCAUUUUCUUAUAUUAUAAAACGAGGGGACCAUAUGAUAAAUCACAUGAUCAUAUCAUAUGACACCAUCUCUCUCUCUCUUUCUCUCAAUGCCAGGACCAUGAUGGGUCUCAAUCUCUAUCUCUCCCCAUCUCCAUUAUUUCCCCUUACCCAUAACAUGUCUCUCAUAUACAAUCUAUAUCAUACAGAUAAAUAAGAUAAAUAAAAAUGGAUACAAAAUAUGAAGACGAAAACAUGACAAUCAUUGAUAUCGCCAACGUGCGAGGGC